CUCAUUGUAUGGAGUGAACUGAGACAGCAACUAGCUGGACGUGAAAGUGUUGUUCCUGAAGGAGAAGUAUGAGGUUGUGCUUGAGAAGAUCUCCAGGCUGGAGGAGAUGGCUUCUCUAUUCAUUUAUUUUCUCCCUGAAGCAUGAGAUGUCGGAUUCAGAGCAACAAGGCGACUAAAGGAUGGGGUUAUGGCAAGGAGGCACACACAUGGAUGAUCGGUGAGGUCGCUAGAGCUUAUGAGAGCGGAAUGGAUUCUGUCGCCACGAUGUUGAAUGGGAUGCGCACCACUGUUUUUGUACCUAUAUUAAAGUAUAUUUGUGUGAUGAGCAGCUACAGCUUGUGUUUGCAAAUAUGUUCCUUUUUAGCUUUAACCAUUUUUGUGAAGAGAAUAUUUUGUAAACCAAUGCAAACUUUGCCUAAAUUACCAUCCAUUUGGCAAAAUGUUAAAGCAGAUUAGAUCAUUCCUCGCAAUAAUCAUUGGAGUUAAGUUUCAA